CUUAGUUUAGUAAAAUCUAACGCCAAGCUAUUGUGUAGCUUGGCGCUAACAUUCUCAACUGGUGGCAGUUUCCAGCAGAUACCUCUAUCCUAUCCUAUCCUAAACCUGCUGCAUGUUCCUUAGUAAUCUGUAUGUGUGUCCCUUAAAGGGUGAUUGUUAUAAAAGUCUUGUAAAGUAAGAAAAUAAU